UGCUGAAAUAUGCACAUACAUUGUUUCGAGUUAUUGAUAAUUGAAAUCCUAGAAGGCUAGAAGCCUAGAACACCCUCAUAAGUAGAAGCUCAGUGUUAAAAUGCAUUGAACUUAUUUUAUAAUUUCACAUAUGACAUGGUGGUGGAUUUGACUCCUAAAGAUACACUGAUAUCCCAUAAUCAAAUACUUGAAUCCUUGUUGGUUUUUGUAGUGCAGUGCACUGUGUAGCAUUAAUUGACGUGUGAUCCUUCAUCAAUGUCUAAACUUCCAUUUACAAAAUAUUCAGUCUGGUUUGAUAAUUCAUGCAUGCAUUGGUAUAUGUGGAAUGGGCCAAAAACUCAGGCUGUACGUGAUUCAUUAGAUUUAAUCCAUGAACUGGAAUUACAAUUAUUUUAUCAUCAAUUUGAUGUUUCUUUUUAACUCAUUAUCUUCUAGUAAUGUUAUGCAUUCUUUUCAGAUGAUGGUGAUGGCAGCUUUGAUGAUGAUUUUGACAAGAUAUAGAUU
rnacentral:misc_RNA from 1 species